CCGUGCGCCGCGCUGGCGACGAAGCCCCGGGAGCAGGGCGAGCUGUGGGCGAAGCGGGUGCCCCGGGCCCGGUCGACCGCCGGCGGCGACUUCGAGCGGCGGAUGAUGGCGCACAUCUACAGCGCGCUCGUCACGCCGGAGCUGCCCGGCGCCGCGCACGGCACGGCCUGAUUAAAUCCUGGGCAUGCCAUGACAGGCUUAAUAAUUUGCUGGCUGUCUGCACCGGCGAUUAACGCUUCCUCGUGUUUCAUCGAAUCGAUCUGCGUCCUCUGUUGUUGAGGUAGUGGCACAAGUGUAACAAUAGUGCCGUGAUUUCACGAUUUUACGUUCUUAACCACAAGCUACGCACAUGAAUUUUGCAGUGAUGCAGCUUACUUGGUCACAAGAUAAAAUUGCCUGCUCUUGAAAAGUUGUGAUUGAAACCAAACCUCCCACAUUUCACCCAGAUCAAUAGUUAACUAGGGCUCAUUCUGAACUUCUGAUCACGAUCCUUCCAUUGUGCACUUUGUGCAAAAGUCCAGAGAAGAAUAUGCAAUGUAUCUAGGUCUUGGAGCAUCUUGCUUGCGCUACUGCACGAAACCCCAUCCGAGGCAGAACUAAAUUAGCUAUCCAAGGUCGCAAAGUGCAUAGAAAGGACGAGCUCCAUAGAGCUUUUGAUAUUUUUUUCAGCGAAAAUACUACUCUCUCCGUUCCUAAAUAUAAGUCCUUUUAGAGGUUAGGACUACAUACAAAUAUAUAUGAACAUAUUAUGUAGUGUAGAUUCACUAAUUUUGCUCCGUAUAUAGUCCCCUACUGAAAUCUCUAAAAAGACUUAUAUUAAGGGAGUAGUAUUUUGUUAGGGUUUCAUGAAUAUAUGCGUAUUUGUAGUAUACACUUGUAGAAUUUCAUGAACAUAUGUGUUCAUAUGUAAUGUGUAAAAAAUAUGAACGUAUAUGUUCUUUAUUUUUUAAGAUCUUUCUUUAAAUUUUGUUAGACUUUGUGUCUUCCUCGGACAGACGAG
rnacentral:lncRNA from 1 species